CGUGGUUCACGUUUCUAUGAAAAAGACAAAAGUUGUUAUUUUGUCUUGCAUCAACCGGAAUUUCGUUCUUUUAUGUCCCCAGAAGCACUCCUGAAAAUUUGAGCCCAUUUGGUAAGGUCUAGGAGCUCCAGUUUUAAUUUGAAAUUUAUAUGGGAUUUUGAUUUAUUUUCCAUGGGAAACUAUCUUUUUUUACAUUGUAUUAGGAAUUUUUUUUAUAAAUCGAUGAAAUGACUUGAUUCUUAUAGUAGGAGAUAGGUUUUGAACUGGGGAACAACUUUGUAGAACAUACCAACAUGCUAGGAAGUGACCCUUUAAAGAUACAGAUACUUUUAGAUGGUGGCUUUUGAAGGGGCUUUACUGUGUGGGGUGAAACGGGCUAGCUGGCGUAAGUUCAAGAUAUCUUUGGUUUUUAAUCGAUGGUGCUUUGACUUUUUCUAGUCAUAUUUACAAAGUUAUUUUUAGAACAUUUAUUUAUAGACAAGCAUGGGCUACGGUUUUGGCCAGCAGUGUUUUGUGAGUUUUCAACGAUAGCAAAAUCUUUUCCUUGGACAAUCUGGCCACCGGUGUUGUUCCAGGUUAUCAAAUGGAUGAUGAGACAGUUCGGACACCGGCACUGUUCCGGGUUGGCGGUUUGCUGUUUGUCAAAUAUGUUUUACAAGAAUUGGUGGACAGUUUCGACACCGGCAUUGUUCCGGGUUGGCGGUUGGCGGGUUAUCAAAGACUGUUCUUGUUAGGGGAUCGGUAAGAGUUAGUUCCACUAUAGCUGCCAAAGUGUAUAUCCAUCACAUUACCCGCAGAUAUCACAGCUCUCUGAGCCGGACCGACCAUUAGCGCUCUGUAGAGGUGGACCAGGUGAAGAGCACGAGGCCAUACAGAAAAAAUCAGCACGUCGCAAAUCCCGACAACAUCCAACGAGUACUUCGGGAAGGUCAAAGCGGAGAACAACGAGAACCUCGCCCUGUAUGAAGCGCCGAGAACGACGUUUCUGAACACCGCCAGCUGGAUCGGACGCACGACGUAGGUGAAGGUAUUUAGGAACAAGCUGGCAGACAAUAAUUAAGACCCUGUCUCAGGUGAGCAAGAGCGUUCAGACGCACACGGAGACACACCGGCUAUGCACCCUAGGACGACUCCGAUCUAGAUCGGACGCGCGAGAGUGGAGACGGCAGGAGAGACGAAUCGCACGCCAGAAAUCAACCUUAAAGGUCACCACCGCAAACACGGGUACAAGUGAAGCACGGCCCAUUAUCAAGGUCAAGCAGACAUGGAAACAAGAUGUAUGUUCGCUGAACCACGCGGAGUCUCACCGAUACCAAUAAAUUGCCCAACUCAGACAACAAGAGCGGUACUCGAAGCACACGGAUAACUACAGGAGUAACUGAAGCUAGAAAAAACGCCCCAUGGACCGAACGGGGUUUGGUGUUCCUGUCCCUGAGCGCGAGGACGGAUCAAUCGUGCACAGGUUGAGCUGAUUGGCUGGUGGAUUCGACUAGAGCGCUUCAUUCGCUCCAAGCAUCUGGUAGAGCAGGGCCAUGCGCGCUGAUGGAGUGCUCGAAAAUCGGGCGCAUCACGUGGACGCAGAGCGGAGUGCGUGCCAACACCGUACGCGCAACAAUAUCCUACGCGUCGGGCGGACGCAAAGCUUCGUGCGCGGCAACACCGUACAUCAGAGACAUGCGAGGUUGAAGUAGGAGUUUUGAAUCUAUUUUCAACCUUAUCAACAGCUGUUAAAAUGAGUUAUUGCGUUGAUUGUUUUAAUUAUUUGUUAUAAAAAACUGAAAUACACAAACAAUCGAAACAGUGUUGUUUACUUUAGGUUCUGUCCCGAAAUGCAAUUCCCAAUCUGAAACUAACCCCUGAUUAAAUCGACUCCCAAACUAUAUCCUUCAAUCCCGACCAAUUUCGUAAGCGUGACCAGCCCCUCCCCGUCCUCCCAUCUUUUCAAACUUCUUAACUGAUCGACAGACAACUGUGUCGAUCCCCUAACAAGAACAGUCUUUGAUAACCCGCCAACCGCCAACCCGGAACAAUGCCGGUGUCGAAACUGUCCACCAAUUCUUGUAAAACAUAUUUGACAAACAGCAAACCGCCAACCCGGAACAGUGCCGGUGUCCGAACUGUCUCAUCAUCCAUUUGAUAACCUGGAACAACACCGGUGGCCAGAUUGUCCAAGGAAAAGAUUUUGCUAUCGUUGAAAACUCACAAAACACUGCUGGCCAAAACCGUAGCCCAUGCUUGUCUAUAAAUAAAUGUUCUAAAAAUAACUUUGUAAAUAUGACUAGAAAAAGUCAAAGCACCAUCGAUUAAAAACCAAAGAUAUCUUGAACUUACGCCAGCUAGCCCGUUUCACCCCACACAGUAAAGCCCCUUCAAAAGCCACCAUCUAAAAGUAUCUGUAUCUUUAAAGGGUCACUUCCUAGCAUGUUGGUAUGUUCUACAAAGUUGUUCCCCAGUUCAAAACCUAUCUCCUACUAUAAGAAUCAAGUCAUUUCAUCGAUUUAUAAAAAAAAAUUCCUAAUACAAUGUAAAAAAAGAUAGUUUCCCAUGGAAAAUAAAUCAAAAUCCCAUAUAAAUUUCAAAUUAAAACUGGAGCUCCUAGACCUUACCAAAUGGGCUCAAAUUUUCAGGAGUGCUUCUGGGGACAUAAAAGAACGAAAUUCCGGUUGAUGCAAGACAAAAUAACAACUUUUGUCUUUUUCAUAGAAACGUGAACCACGCUAGCCAUCAGU